rnacentral:rRNA from 1 species
AAUAGAUACCCUGGUAGUCCAUGCCGUAAACGUUGGGCACUAGGUGUGGGGCUCAUUCCACGAGUUCCGUGCCGCAGCAAACGCAUUAAGUGCCCCGCCUGGGGAGUACGGCCGCAAGGCUAAAACUCAAAGGAAUUGACGGGGGCCCGCACAAGCGGCGGAGCAUGCGGAUUAAUUCGAUGCAACGCGAAGAACCUUACCAAGGCUUGACAUGCACGGGAAGCCACCAGAGAUGGUGGUCUCUUUGGACACUCGUGCACAGGUGGUGCAUGGUUGUCGUCAGCUCGUGUCGUGAGAUGUUGGGUUAAGUCCCGCAACGAGCGCAACCCUCGUCCCAUGUUGCCAGCGGGUUAUGCCGGGGACUCAUGGGAGACUGCCGGGGUCAACUCGGAGGAAGGUGGGGAUGACGUCAAAUCAUCAUGCCCCUUAUGCCUUGGGCUUCACGCAUGCUACAAUGGCCGGUACAAAGGGCUGCGAUACCGUAAGGUGGAGCGAAUCCCAAAAAGCCGGUCUCAGUUCGGAUUGGGGU